rnacentral:rRNA from 1 species
CUACGGGUGGCUGCAGUGAGGAAUAUUGCACAAUGGGGGGAACCCUGAUGCAGCAACGCCGCGUGGAGGAUGACGCAUUUCGGUGUGUAAACUCCUUUUAUAUGUCAAGAAAAUGACGGUAGCAUAUGAAUAAGCACCGGCUAACUCCGUGCCAGCAGCCGCGGUAAUACGGAGGGUGCAAGCGUUACUCGGAAUCACUGGGCGUAAAGGACGCGUAGGCGGGUUGGAAAGUCAGGUGUGAAAUCCUACAGCUUAACUGUAGAACUGCACUUGAAACUUCUAACCUAGAGUAUGGGAGGGGGAGAUGGAAUUAGUGGUGUAGGGGUAAUAUCCGUAGAUAUCACUAGGAAUACCUAAAGCGAAGGCGAUCUCCUGGAACAUUACUGACGCUAAGGCGUGAAAGCGUGGGGAGCAAACAGGAUUAGAUACCCUAGUAGUC